CAGGAUGAACGCUAGCGGCAGGCUAACACAUGCAAGUCGAGGGGCAGCGUGGAGUAGCAAUACUCUGACGGCGACCGGCGAAAGGGUGAGUAACGCGUGAGCAACAUGCCCGUAGUUGGGGGAUAGUCGAUGGAAACGUCGCGUAAUACCCCGUAACAACAGAGGCCGCAUGACCUUUGUUUAAGAGAUUUAUUGUCUACGGAUUGGCUCGCGUACCAUUAGCUAGUUGGCGGGGUAACGGCCCACCAAGGCGACGAUGGUUAGGGGUUCUGAGAGGAAGGUCCCCCACAUUGGAACUGAGACACGGUCCAGACUCCUACGGGAGGCAGCAGUGAGGAAUAUUGGUCAAUGGCCGAGAGGCUGAACCAGCCAUGCCGCGUGCGGGAUGACGGCCCUAUGGGUUGUAAACCGCUUUUGUUGGGGAGCAAUAAGGUUCACGUGUGGACUGAUGAGAGUACCCAGCGAAUAAGCAUCGGCUAACUCCGUGCCAGCAGCAGC
rnacentral:rRNA from 1 species